rnacentral:rRNA from 1 species
AUUGAACGCUGGCGGCAGGCCUAACACAUGCAAGUCGAGCGAGCGGCGGACGGGUGAGUAAGGUAUGGGGAUCUGCCCGAUGGUGGGGGAUAACUACUGGAAACGGUAGCUAAUACCGCCUACUAUCGGAUGAACCCAUAUGGGAUUAGCUAGUGGGUGGGGGAAAGGCUCACCUAGGCCACGAUCUCUAGUUGGUCUGAGAGGAUGACCAGCCACACUGGGACUGAGACACGGUCCAGACUCCUACGGAAGGCAGCAGUGGGGAAUAUUGGACAAUGGGCGCAAGCCUGAUGCAGCCAUGCCGCGUGUGUGAAGAAGGCCUUAGGGUUGUAAAGUACUUUCAGCGGGGAGGCGUUACCCGCAGAAGAAGCACCGGCUAACUCCGUGCCAGCAGCCGCGGUAAUAC